AGAGUUUGAUCCUGGCUCAGGAUGAACGCUGGCGGCGUGCUUAACACAUGCAAGUCGAACGAAGCACUUUAUUUGAUUUCCUUCGGGACUGAUUAUUUUGUGACUGAGUGGCGGACGGGUGAGUAACGCGUGGGUAACCUGCCUUGUACAGGGGGAUAACAGUUGGAAACGGCUGCUAAUACCGCAUAAGCGCACAGCAUCGCAUGAUGCAGUGUGAAAAACUCCGGUGGUAUAAGAUGGACCCGCGUUGGAUUAGCUAGUUGGUGAGGUAACGGCCCACCAAGGCGACGAUCCAUAGCCGACCUGAGAGGGUGACCGGCCACAUUGGGACUGAGACACGGCCCAAACUCCUACGGGAGGCAGCAGUGGGGAAUAUUGCACAAUGGGCGAAAGCCUGAUGCAGCGACGCCGCGUGAGCGAAGAAGUAUUUCGGUAUGUAAAGCUCUAUCAGCAGGGAAGAUAAUGACGGUACCUGACUAAGAAGCACCGGCUAAAUACGUGCCAGCAGCCGCGGUAAUACGUAUGGUGCAAGCGUUAUCCGGAUUUACUGGGUGUAAAGGGAGCGCAGGCGGUGCGGCAAGUCUGAUGUGAAAGCCCGGGGCUCAACCCCGGUACUGCAUUGGAAACUGUCGUACUAGAGUGUCGGAGGGGUAAGCGGAAUUCCUAGUGUAGCGGUGAAAUGCGUAGAUAUUAGGAGGAACACCAGUGGCGAAGGCGGCUUACUGGACGAUAACUGACGCUGAGGCUCGAAAGCGUGGGGAGCAAACAGGAUUAGAUACCCUGGUAGUCCACACGGUAAACGAUGAAUACUCGCUGUUUGCGAUAUACAGCAAGCGGCCAAGCGAAAGCGUUAAGUAUUCCACCUGGGGAGUACGCCGGCAACGGUGAAACUCAAAGGAAUUGACGGGGGCCCGCACAAGCGGAGGAACAUGUGGUUUAAUUCGAUGAUACGCGAGGAACCUUACCCGGGCUUAAAUUGCAGAUGAAUUACGGUGAAAGCCGUAAGCCGCAAGGCAUCUGUGAAGGUGCUGCAUGGUUGUCGUCAGCUCGUGCCGUGAGGUGUCGGCUUAAGUGCCAUAACGAGCGCAACCCUUGUUGUCAGUUACUAACAGGUUUCGCUGAGGACUCUGACAAGACUGCCAUCGUAAGAUGUGAGGAAGGUGGGGAUGACGUCAAAUCAGCACGGCCCUUACGUCCGGGGCUACACACGUGUUACAAUGGGGGGUACAGAGGGCCGCUACCACGCGAGUGGAUGCCAAUCCCCAAAACCUCUCUCAGUUCGGACUGGAGUCUGCAACCCGACUCCACGAAGCUGGAUUCGCUAGUAAUCGCGCAUCAGCCACGGCGCGGUGAAUACGUUCCCGGGCCUUGUACACACCGCCCGUCAAGCCAUGGGAGCCGGGGGUACCUGAAGCGCGUAACCGCAAGGAGCGCCCUAGGGUAAAACUGGUGACUGGGGCUAAGUCGUAACAAGGUA
rnacentral:rRNA from 1 species